rnacentral:lncRNA from 1 species
ACCCAUCGAAAACUCACACGCACACUCAUAUGAGACGUCGCCACCGCCUCUGAAACUCUGGCAACCGCAUCGUUGUCUCUUCCCUUUUAAGCGCCCUAGUCCCCAACCCCCAGACACCACACCGGCGAACGCGCCCUCACGCCGCCUCUGCUACCCUACCCCCAAUUCCAGCCAGCCCUUCUCCAAAUCCCAGCGAGAACGGUUCGUCACCGGGGAAGGAGCGGCGGCGGACCUUGCGUCCGUGAGUUGGCGGAUUUUGGUGUUGUUUGUCGUGUUGUCGUGUGUGUGCCGAGGGAAGAGAGAGACAGUCUUUACAGCCGUGAGUUUUCGGACCGAGUGUGGUCAUCUGGAGGCGAGGCAGAGCCGUGGCGGUGGCGUCUACCCAGAUCUAAGAGGACAGUGGCCGAGGGAGGUCAGGUGGCGCGAGGGCGCAUUCGCCGGAGUCGAGUGGCGUCGAUGUGUUGCAUUAAAAAAGUCGGCGAUGGUGAUAGAGUUUUUCUAAAAUUGGAGGUUUUGGGGGAAAAAUCUGUAUGACUUGAAGAAGACCGGCGAUGAUUAUGGAGGAAUUUGGUGAGAUUCCGGCGAUGGAAUUUGGUGGCCUGAAAUGGUGAUGGAAGAAGACCUGAUGGAGGAAUUUGGUGAGAUCGGCAGCUGCUUCGCUAGAACUCAAGGAAGAGUGAUACAGCGGUUGUGGGUUGGAGAAGAGGCACGCGACGGCGGGGACAGCCUCACCGACGGAGGCAGCCACAUCGACGGCGGCGGCAGAAACAGUGGAUGAAGGGGAGAGAGAGUUGGGCCCACCUGAAUUAAAAAAAAAAGUUAUUUUUUCUAACGAUGUUAAGCUCCGUUAGGUGGCGAGGGGGUAUUUGGUGCUAUUUUGCCACGUUGAGGUAGUAAACAGCGCCAACCCUGACUUUAGGGUGCUGUAUGCGAUAGGGAAAUGGUACUUAACCCAAUAUUAUAUGAUAUAUAAUGAUACUCAUGAUCAUUUAUACGUACUUUUGAUGGUGAAUUUAUAUAUUUAUACACAUUAUCAAUGAAAAUCAAUUAAUUGGUAAUUGAAAAUACAAAA